ACAGUUUAUUACACUACUUGAUGC
rnacentral:siRNA from 1 species